rnacentral:rRNA from 9 species
AGAUGACUCUCGGCAACGGAUAUCUUGGUCCUCGCAUCGAUGAAGAACGUAGCGAAAUGCGAUACUUGGUGUGAAUUGCAGAAUCCCGUGAACCAUCGAGUUUUUGAACGCAAGUUGCGCCCUAAGCUUCCGGGCCGAGGGCAAGCCUGCGUGGGCGUCAAGU